GUCCGCGGCCAGCGUGGCAAGCGGCAGUCCGAAGGGCGGCGCCGGGAACAUCAUGUAGGGCGCGUGCGCGGCCAGAGUUCCAAGUGGUACCAAGAUGAAUCUAAUUUAUUUGGAAUUGGACUGUCACCUUUCUUAACUGCUACCAUAAUUAAAAUAGAAGUCAUUUACUCUCAAACUUCAAGACUCUCAGUAAAGUGCAUUUAGAGAAGAUUCUGAAGUCAAGGACCAUUGUCAUUUCUGCAGGCUUUUUGUCUUUGUAGUAAAAAACCUCUACUUCUCGAUGUAGAAUACCAAAGAUUCCUUGUAUGAAAA